CCCAGGGCUGCGCUGCGCUUCGCCCUGGGCUAUACUCCUACGCCCCUUCGGGGCU
rnacentral:sRNA from 1 species